rnacentral:lncRNA from 1 species
AAGAAAUCAAAAAUCUUGCAGAAGUCAAAAAUCCUCUUUAACACGAAUAAUUUAUUAUUUCAUUUUUCAUAUCUUAAGAAACCAUGCUACUUAUAGAGAUCAAAGUCACAAUCUAAUUGGAAAUAUUUUUCAUGAACUUAAAGAAAACUAUACAUAUAAAUAAUAUUAAAAUUUGGUUCUGAAAAUGAUUUACUUAACCACGAUUAAUUGUUGUUGAGCUUCAAUCCUUAUUUCUUCCUUCAUCCUUCUUAUGAAAUCUUCAAAUUUCUUGUUUAAUUCUUCUGUACUCGUAUGAUCUUCUUCUUCUUCUUCUUCAACUUCUUGUCUGUACACUUGUUCAUCGUCUAAAAACCAGCCAUUUUCAGUCUCAAUUUCCUUUUCCACUUCUUCAAAAAGGCAGUUUCCUCCACCACCGCCGUCACUGCCAUCCACAUUCAGUGACUCGCUUUCUGCUUCUUCCCCACCAUAUACGCCAUUUUGCACCAAAGUCUCCUCCUCUAGCAAGCCACUUUUUGAAUCAGUUUCCUUUCUCACAUCUUCGAAGUGGCAGUUCCCUCUGCCACCACCACUGCCAUCUACAGUCAGUAACUCCCUUUCAGUUUCCCUUUCACCUUCUUCAACUACACAAUUUUUCACUAAAACUUCCUUCUCUAACAGGGCUUCUUUUAUUUCAAGCAAUAUUUGCAGCUCACCAAGAUCAAAUCCCAAGGAAGAAGGAACUAAACCAGAGGUUUUUGCAAGAAAAAUCAGUAGUCCAUUGCAUAUCAAAAAUAUGCAAUUUUUGUUCCAGGCAUGCACGCUUGGGAACUGGAUAGAGACCAAUGAAAAGUAGGAAAAAAUGGAAGUAAAUACAAACACUGAGAAUAAUAAUGGAAUGAUGAUCUUCUUCCUUAGAUUUUGAGCCUCCAUUUCAUUUCACGUGCAGGGGGGCUCGGAAUGGGUGCAGAAUUGUGCAAUGAGGAAGAAAUUAUAAGAUCUCAGAUGUGUCAAUCCAUAGUGGGUAUCCUUUUAUAGGCGAGUCAAGUCUGGGUAUGUGUGCAUUAAUGCGUUCUGGACAGUACUUUUGUUAGUUGAUUUGAUAUAGUGAUUGUUUGGUAGGAAUUUUGAUAAUUUUUUUUUUUUACCAUUAAAGAUAAAGUAAGUCCUACCUGUGAGAAAAGAAUUCAAAAAUAACGGCUGAAAUAGUAAAAUACGAUAAAAAAAUUGAUUUUAAUUGACUUAAAAUCUGUACCAAACAAGCUUACAAUAUGAAAUAAGCUAUCUAUUAAAAAAACUAUACAAGUAACAUGAUUCAUAUAAUAGAGCCCCAGUCCCAAGGGAAGGGGGAGGGCUGGGGAGUUCUGUGGAUGGAUUGUGAUUGCCACUUAUAGGGGUCCAUGCCAUCCCCGUGUAAGUAAGAUUGACAUUCAUGUAUACCAAUUUGAGGUUGACUGCACAAAUUGAGGAAAUCUCUUUUGGACCAAGAGAUCAGAUAAAUAGACAGGAAGAUUCUAUAUAAGAGAAUAAAAGGGUGAAUUAACAAAGUUCCUUGUACGCGUUUUAUCAACUCACAACAUGGAAAGAUGAACCAAAAAAGUCGAGGCUCGUGCUAAGGCAAUACGAGGCAUUCAAGAUUAGUCAAAAGAACUUGAAACCAACUACGUACGGAGGCCAACCGAACCCCAAGUGGAUAAGCUCAAGACAUCUAGAUAGGUGCAAACAGAACAUCUAAACAUUAAGCUCAACACGCACAUAGACUAAAUACCGCUUCCAACUUGACAUGAUAUUCGUAACUGAUAUGACAGUCAGAGUGAAACUGAUUACACCUACCCCUAAUGGCAGAGCUCACAAACCUACGACUGUUUAACAACCAAUCCUUCUGCCUCAAAUAUUGUUCAUACAAUGUCAAAGUCAAAGUUUACACAGCACAAAUGUUUUCCCUACAUCAAAUAUCCUUUAUAAAAACACUGUAUAUCAACCAAUUUUAUCUUCAUUCACUAGUCCACUUGCUUGGAGGAGAUUUCCCUCACCAAAAACAUGAAGGAUAAGGUCAGCAAAAAAAAAAAAAAAAAAAGGGUUUUAAUUAAUUGAGGGCAAUCAAAUUUUCAAUUCACUAUUAAUAUUCCACUGAGAAGUGCAGAAUAACUAUAGGUCUAUAUGAAGUUUCUCACAGCAAAAUGCAACCACAACAGGUCCUGCCAAAUCCCCCAAUGCACAACCUGCAGAAAAUGCACAUAAUGCAGUUCAUUACUUGUUCAUCACAUUUUAGAAGAAAUCUUGACAUAAAUUCGGACCAGUCAAUUGCAAAAAUACAAAUUAUACAAAUGUUAAUGCAUGUCAAGUCCCUUACCAAUCCAUUGACCCGCUGAAGGACGAAACAGUGCAGCUCCGAUACCGGCCCCAACCGAUGCAAAUAUAAGUGACGAACCACAUCUUAUAGUGACACCAUAAACCUUCUUUCCAAGAAUUCGAACUUGUUCUGCUUUGUCAACCUCACUGGUCUCCUCUUCGGAUUUAGACACAGAAGAAAAGAAUCGAUAAAUAUCAAUUCCGACUUGGACGAGCCACGAUGCUAAAAUUCCAAGGAAGUGUCCUGUUAAAUAUGAGCAAAUGCAUGAUCAGGAGACGAGGUUUAAAAAUAUAGAGAAUAAACGUAGAAAUCAGUCAGGAGAUGAGGUUUAAGACAACAGAGCGAAUAAGCAUAGAAAUCAAUCAGUGAUGUGACCUCUGAAGGUUGUUCUGCUAACGCUGAAAAUGUAUAUUGGAGUUGACAUUCCCCUCUGAGCCUUGCGCGUGGCUGAUUUUGGAACAUCUGGACAGGUUGACUAAUAGUAUUAGGCUGGUUAUUGGUUAACAACAUAAAUCCAUAGUACUCGGAUCUUUAACAUUAUUGAAUGCAAUAUACCUUUGAGGAGUUUCCAGGCCAUACGCUGAGAGAUAUAAUGAACUGCAAGUCUUUCAAGAAUGCGUCUUGUGGUUAAGACGGUGCUCUGGACCAUAGUACACAGUUACUUUUGUGAUUGCUUAUAGGAUGUAUAUAAAGAACUGCACAAUUUCCAAGCAAUAAUGAAGAAAUAAAAAACCCAGCAGGCUAGUGAAUGUGGAGAACUAAAGGAAAAUAUCUAUUUUGGGGUCAGGUUUAGAAAAUAUCAAAUGUAAAGACAUAUAGGCAGGGAGUUCAAAAUAAUUAACACAAGAAAGCACUAGGAUUAAAUCAACUGGCAGAGAACCUUUUUUCCUCGAAAAAUGUGAGAUGAGGAAGGCCUCUGUAGUUUUAUGUGGUUUUAAGAUCUUACAAUAAACUUACUAAAGUAGAAACGAAUCGUAGCUAGCUUAUAUCUACGGGAAAUAUCAAGUAUUAAACAAAUAUAUUGACUGAAAUGAAGCAUGGGUUUCCAACAAUACAUGAAAUAUCAAAAUUGCAUAUGUUCACUACUAUAUGUUUCGUCAACGUAAGAUUGAAUGCUUUUAUUCUGCAAAACUAGCAUAACAGCAAACAGAUAUUCCUAUUGUCAUCAAAUAUGGCCUAGACUCCAAUUACUCUUGCAAUAGAGAUACCAUGGCACUCGAAGAGGGAGGAAAUGAUAAUCGAAGCACGCCAGAAGCAGAUUCUAAGACAUGUUUAAGUAAUGCAACCUGGUGAAAUUAUAUUUUAAUAGUACUUGCAUGUUAAUCACUGUCUAGAAUCCAUGGGUACAAGCAGAAUACAAAUAUAAAUUUACAGCUGAGAGUAGUUCAGAAGAUACAAGCGUUAGAUGUUAUGCAUAGCUGCUUGUGUGUCAGUGACGAAGGUUUUGUUGUAACGUCAAUAGUACAAGAGUACCGUAGGCCACAUAAUCACCCCCCUACCUCCAAAACCCUUCCACUGGUAACCCAACCCCAAGACAUGUACAGACUACCCCGACACUAUACUAAUUGGUCAUGCCAUUGUCCCUUGUUUGAUGUGUCCAAUCUAAAAAAACCCUGAUUUGCGUCUAAUUUAUGGAAACUUCAAUAUUUAUGGAGAUGAUCAAAGUAAUAGCUACGCAUGUGAUAAUUAGAAUCACAAAUGGACAAUAGGAGUUUUCAUACCUCGUUGAGGAGUAAGAAGAGGUCUAUGAUUGUGUUCAGAAUUCACAAAUAAAAAAGGGCCGCCAUAUAUUAAAAACCCAAUAGAGAUAAGUCUUCCUCACUUGUCAUACAAGCAAAAUUACAUAACAAAAGGGAAAUCAAUUAUGCCUCCUGAUUUUUCCUUAAAAUCAUAAUACAAAACAAAUAUAAUAUGGGAACACCCUUAAAAUACGACACAUUUCAUAAAGCCAACACAUCCUGUCACUGGAAAAUUGGAUCCAUGCAUACAUUGUUACAGCCAGAACAGCAGCCUCAAGUGCAUAAUGUAUAUUAAUACAAGCAAAUGGCAUGGAUAUUCCUAUGUCAUCCAUAAAAUCUAAUUAAACAUCAACAUAACUAUAGAUCGCAACAAAAAACAAAUAAACCGAGUUCUUGUGACAAAAAUGGCUACAACAAUUGCUACUUACUUAAUAUUUUAUUACAUCCUGUCAAUAAAUCGAGACUCACAAAUUUUCACCAGUGAGUUAUUUUGACAGCAGACAACUUCAUCUUUUCUAUUCAGCAUGGCAUACCCAACAAGUUUUAAUCAAUCUCAUGACAUUAUGAAGUAACAUUUCUUCGUGUAAAAUAACAGCAAUGAAGAACAAAUGCAUCCAUGAUAACAAGUACAUGUUCUUCAGCAACAACAGUUUAAAAUGGCAAGGAAGAAAUCUACUGUUAACAAUUGCACCAUUCUUCUCCAACCAGCCCACAAUCUAUAAUACUGGCAAUUUAGCUAAAGCAAUAGUAUCAAUAACAAACCAGAAAUUAAUGAAAGAAGAUGGAAAAAUAAGAAAGUACGGUAGAUUCACCUCGCGAACGAUUUGCUUCACCGAUUUUUUGAAAGGCACGACCAAAUCUACAUGGCGCUCUCCUUGAGUUUCCUGUAGAAAAUCUUCAUCUUCGUCGUCAUCUUCCAUAUUUGUACGGGGCUCAAUGAGAGGCAAAUAGAAUAACAGGAACGACCUCAGGGAUGUCAAUGCAAGAGUUCUCCAGUGAAAUGCCGAGAAUAAAGGUUUCAACUCAAUACUGUACUCCUUAGUAUUAUAAUUCAAAGAAUCCUUCAGAAAGAUAUUUCCAGAUGCUGUCCGUAGACUAGAAAUGUAAUCUUCGUUUAGUGCUGAACCAGCAUCGCAGUGAGCAACUCGUGACACACUGUCACUGUACCGUGACCAUCAUAUGAAAAGAAAAAAUGGUCAGAAACUAUGGAUGGAGUGCCUUAAUCCACACCCCAGGCCCACAAGUAUCAAUCAUAUUCUCAUGCCACUAAGUAACUCAGUUCCCCAAAAAAAAAAAAGUGAAAUAGAAAGAAAGAAAAGCUCUUUGUAGUUAAAUCAAGUUUAAAUUAUAAUUUCCAUGCAUCAUUCCCCCUCUCCUAGAUCACAGUGCAACAUACAUUGACAUAUCAAGUAGUUCUGCACUAAAUAGAAAAAAAUAUGACAUGACAAAAUGCUAUACAGAGUAAAAAGACACUUUGUCCACUGAAACUGAACCACGUAAACUCCAAAACUCUUUUGGAGCUCCCAUAUUGCCUUCUAGAUCUUACUAAUCCUGUGAUACACCACACUAUACAUUUUCUUUAAACAUGCUUAGCUAAGAUUGUCGGCUAUGACCAUUCUCAAAGACACGGUGCUUGUACUUUGACACAUGCAAACAAAAACGAAAAAUUUAUCCACGUUCAGGUAGACGCAAGGAGCAGAUUUUGACAUAUGCAUGCAAGCAAACAGGCAUACACUAAUAAAAGAAUCAAUUAACAUUACUUGGAUAGCGGGCACAUAAGAUCAACCCAAAAAAAUCUACUAAAAUUUCAGAACCUCCUUUAACCAGCCACGAGAAUCCCAUCAAAUUGUUGUGAUUUUGUCCAACUAUUGGUUAACAUAUUUAACAAAUACAUAUUAAGUUUCGUCUUAAAUAAAGGAAGUGCAGUUUUAGAAAAUGAGUAAACAAAGAAAGAAAAUACAUGAAACAAGUUAAUCAUAUAUUCCAUGCUUUUACACGUUUUGAAAAAAUUCAAUUUGGCAUAUUCCAUCAACUUUGGGUCUUUCAAAAAAUGAGGUAGGUGCACGAUCAAUCGUAAAAAUAUCACAGAUAAUACAGUAUCGUUAAUGACAAUUAAAAUGCAUGCACAAAAAGAAGAUAUGAAGAAAAGCAUACAUGGUUAUGUAACUUAUGUUAACAGAAAGAUAGCACUACAGGCAAAAUGAGUGCUGCCAGCAACAGGAGUUGUGCUACUAGUAGCAGCAACUGUUGUUAGUAAGUAACCAUAAAUUAAAAUUUUGCCUAACUUGUCUCAGCAUUCCCAAGACUACCCUGAUAUUCAAUUACAAUCAAUGUAUUCUUCCAUCCACGUAACUAUUAGAUAGUUCUAUCUGUUUACUCCAAUCUAGUAAAGCAUUCAUCAUAAUUCCAGGCACCAAAAAGUUGAUUGCUCAACGAUGAUCUGAGGAAAUUUUCAAAAUCCUCGAACUAGAAAUAGAUACAUUUAUCCGCAGCAUAAAUUAUUUUAUCUGGUCCAUAGAAUGUCAUAGCAAUAAGAACAUAUAUAAAUAUAAAAACCCCAUCCAUUUGUUCAAGUAAACACAGGAGCACGAAAUAAUUACCCGAAGAAAGCCCUGGCAGCGAAAGGGGUUCCGGCGGCGACAGAUGCCGCGGCAGCUGAAGCGGCGACAGUAGAUGAAAAUAGACCGGAGGAAUGAAGGGUUUGGCCAUUCAAGCCCGGAUUCUUCCUCAAUAGAUCUAGUACAAUUGCAACUCCCGCCAUCUUCGUCGAUCAAUUCAAGAAAUUAGAACUCGAUAAGGCUGAUGGAGAUAAUAAUUACUUACAGCAUGAACAAGAUUUCAAUUAUUUUUGAAGUAUUUUCUGAAUGAAAUGGAGUGUGUGUAAGAGUGACGUUUAGGUGUGUGGAACUUGCUGAGUGGAAACUGGAAAAGGUGUCUGAAAGGUACUGGGCCAGUGGUCUUGGGGUGUUAUCUGUUUGGGUCAGGGCGGCCUGGCCCAAUCCUUCUUCAGCCAUGUAUCAAGUGUAUUCUAUUGCAAUGUUCUUGAAAACAUAAAACGUGAUUAAGCGUAGAAGAGACGAAGUUGUAAGUUUUCAAGCUUAAGCGAGUCUAAACGAGGUCUGGGUGCCGCCCAAACGAGCUUUUUAGAACACUUUUGGAUGUGAAAGAAGUUAAACGACAUUUUAUGACGAUAUUAAAAAUGUUUUCUUGCAUUCUCAAAAUCAUACUAACCUCCUUUAUUUCUAAUUUUGAUUAUCAUGUAUACUCUGAAGUGAGGUAAAUAUAACUAAAAUGCUUUUGUGAUUAAGAAGAUGAAAUUUCUAUAAUUAUUUCCUUUUAUAGUCAAAUUAUUGCUUAUAGACUUUGGACUCACAAAUUUAGACAUAAAAUUUGCUGAAGAAUGCGGCUCCAAUGGAUUCCCUUAACUAAGUCAUUGUCUAUGAAUCGUCGGCCAACAGGCACAUGGUCAUUAACCAGGCGUUUUCCACUUCUUUGGAGCUUAAGGUUUAACGUCUAAUUUCACUCUCCAACGGAACCUUUUCAUCAUUUCCUCAUUACAGAGGACGAUGCUACCAUAUUGAGCCCAUUCCUGGAUAAACAUAUCAAUAUAUCUAUUAUGUAGUUUAUUUUUCAGACCUUUUUGAAAAAGGUUCCAUUACCAACAUGUUUACAUCCAUGCGAUAUGAUUAACAUGUUCCAAAUUUUAGAUCUAUACCUUUAUAGGCAUGGUUACGCCCCUCAAUAACUCACUUCGGUGCGUCAUACAUACUUUCUAGGGAGGCACCACGUGCCUAGUCGAAGUGGUUCCGAAGUGAUAUGAGUUCACCACGCAUCGGCCGAACCCCAAUGUUAACAUGCUACGAGGCACAAUCAUCACCUAAAGUGAUUGCCGAGGCGUCCACCCCCUUCACCAAAGUGUAAGGGAUUCAAGGCCUCUCCGCCGCCAGUUUCAGAUAUGUAUCUUUGUGUCAAGAUCCUCUUUUAUUUUUGUGGAUUAAUUGAUGUGACAUCUCAACUUUACGUCAACUCAUAAUUCGGACGAAUUAAUUACUCGCCCCCUCUAAAUGCGGCUGAUUGACGCCUACUUGCAGACGUUCACACCGUCAAAUGCAUAAUGUGUCCUACAUCAAACGGUGCCUACUAUUUAUAAAUCCCGAAAAUUUGGCAAGGGACAAAGGUAAUGAAACUCUUACUAAAACAACUUGGCACUCUACACAAAGUAUAAUCUUUUCUCCUCCCACUCUUGCACAAUUCUGAUCAUCGUGUACUGAUUUGAUCGUUGGAGUGUAUACGGCCACCACCACCCCAUUGGUUCCGACUAUGUACGUCUGAUUGUACGUUAUUGUGCACAGGGAAGGAUACGUGGAGUGACUCUCGAUUGGCCACGAAAAGGUCCAAAUCGUGAGGUCGACACGCACCAUCCCCUUGGGAGAUGAAUAAAAUUAAUAAAUGAACCUCGUUUUAGCGAUUGCUGAUAAGUGCUUGGAAUAAUAUCUAAAAAUGUAAACAUAUCCGAAAAAUUUUAAUAUUUAUAAAUUUAUGAACUAAAACAAGAUGUCGGGUGUAAACAUAUACAUUUUGUGGUUCGAGUAAAUUUUAGCUAAAAAUAGUACGUGUAAGUUGUUUGCAUAUAAUCAUUCUUACGUAUUUAAUUUUUUUGGUUGUAUUCUUAUAUUAAACCUUUCAAUAAUUAGUAUGUAUUGUUCACAAUGACCUUUUUUGUCAAAAAAAUUCAUCAGAAGUGCAUAAAAGAUCUUACUUGCCUCUCAUAUUUUAAAAUAAUCAAAAGACGACGGGAAAUACAAAAAAAUAAAAAUCCACCAAUAUAUUUGUCAUUUAUUUCAAAGCAUGCUAAUUUGCGAAUAGAAGCUUUAGACAAAACUGUCAUUAAAGACAAGGUGACGAGUAAUCGAAUGUAAUAACAUAAAUGCAACGGAAAAAACAGUUGAGAACAUAAAUUCAACAACGUGCAAAUACGAGUACCUUAUUGUUGUUAAAAUAAUGUGCAAUAAACUGAUUUUUCUCUUAUUAAAGUGCUUUAAAUAAUUUUAUAUUUAUUUUUUCCCUUAUUUAAAAUACAAGAAAAAAUAAAUCUUUUGUUUUUUUUUUCCCUAUCUUGACGAAAUCUUUUAGCAGAAAUCGUGAUAACGAACACUUGUGUUGAUUUUCAGAACGAGAAUUUGAUGAAAAAAAUUAGAGACAUGAAUAUGAUAAGGGGUAGAUUUUUUGAACCUUUCAUGCAAUUAUCUAAAAAAUGUGCUGUGUAUUUUAUGUGCCAUCUUAAGUAGCUGGAAAAAAGAUUACUUUUUAAUGAUUAAUAACAAACCAUACCAUGUACAUUGUACAUUUAUGAUUUAUACAGCAAUUUACAUGCUAUUUUUUUAAAAUUAUUUUUUUGUUAUUCGGCGCUGAAAUGACACAUUGUCCUUCACUGCUGAAAGAUGUGGAGACCUUUUUAUUUCUUCAUAUACCUCUUCUUUCAGAUAGUAUAAUCUAAAGUUCUAUCAAUUUCUCUUCAUGGUAUCGUAUUCGUCCCAUUCAAAAUUUAAUUACUAGUUUUCACGAUGUUUGAAAAUUGAUUCUUUUUCUCAUAAUAUUUAUUAUGCGCCUCUUCCUCGAUUUUUAAGUAAAUAGAUAACAAAAUAAACUUUAAUAAGUUUAUAAUGUGUUGAAAAUUAAUAACAACUUCAUUUCAAAUUUUCAACACCGUAAAACAAAAAGUAAAAUCUGUUGUCACAUUCUAAUUAAAAUGUCCUGUCCAUUGAGUAAAAAUUAGAAAAAUCAUGAAAAUAGUCUUUUAUAUUAGUAUUUUGUAGCUUAAAACAAUUUUCUUAUUCAAUUUAAAUUGGAUUAAUAGCUUUAUGUCAUUCAAAAGACAUAAAAACUACUUAGAAACGUAUGCAUAAAUCUCUCUCUUUUAUUAUCGCAUUGUUUAAUUUAAUCAAUUAUAUUUCAUAUUAUCUGUAUACAAUUUAAAUUUGAAAAAUAUAAAAAUAUGAUAAAUAAAAGAAUUCGGAUGAAUUUGAUGAAUUUAGAGCAAGACACUGCGAGACGAGAUGGGAUCAAUUUUUUUUUGUAAAUUUCCCUGUUCUUUGUUGAUAGUACAUGUGAUUUUUGAAAGAGUAAUGCUAGUAGUCUUUUUGUUAAUAAGCGUCAUUAAAUAAAAAGUACAAUUAAAUUAAUCACAAUUUUUUUUUGUUAGUGUUAGAAAAAAUAUUUUAUGGUAAACAAGUAAUUUAAGAUAAUUAGGGGUCAGAAUAGAACAAACUACAAAUUUUAGAGGCUAAAACGCAAAAAAAAAUGGAAAAAUUAAAUUGAAAUAGCCAGUGCUAGGGUUUUUCUAUUCAACAUAAAGCCGCCGUUACCUCUUCCAUUAUUAGGUUUACGAAAAAUUGUGUAUAUAUACGCGUGUGCGCAGAGCACAAUCUCGUGUGUUCAACGCCAAGAAAACUACUGAUUAGAGGAUUUGAGGAGAAUUAGAGAUGGCUUUAUCUUUCAUGAGGCAGACAGUAAGUUAUUUUCCGAAUCGUAAUUUAUGAAAAUUUUCAAUUUUGAAGGUAGAAAUUUGAGAGUUUUGGGAAGUGAUGAUAAUCUAUAUCUAUGUAUAUCAGAGGCUCAGCCCGUCUGUGCAUUGCUGAACAGAUAUUUUGCACGUCAGUCUGAUCCCAAACUCUCAAUAUCGAGGUGUAAAGUUUUGAUAAAUCUGGAAUGGAUUCAAUUGCACCAUGAAAUUUGGACUUAAAAUAUCGAAUUAAAUGUUUGGUAAAAAAAAAAAAAAACACUUGUUUUUAUGCAGAAUUACUCUGAACUGACUGACGAGUCCUAAUUUUGUGGAAUUUAAGUUACUUGUUGGACUUAACUUUGGAUUAACAUGGUGGAUUCAACUAACAGCGUUGAUUCAAUUUUACAGGUUGGAUGCAUAGAUUGCUGCAGCUGAUCGGAUUUUUGUUGUGCAUUGAGAUUCAAGUUCUGGUUAAUAAUUGUUUCCUAAGAAGAAAUAAUCACAGAACUUAAAUCUCUAUAAACGGUGACUCCUUGUAAUUUGGUGUUAUCGAAGAAUUGUUUUUUUGCAAAAUUGUACAAAUUAUUAUUAGAAAACAUCAAACUACAAUGUGUAAUUGGAGCCUUAACGAAUCACGUUUGUUAUAUAAUCGAAUAGAUUUUGAUAUCGCGAAUUAAAAUACAGUCCAUGUUUGAAUUUUAUUAUUUCAAAACUUAUUUUUUCAAAAAUUGCUAUUAUAAGAUUUAUAUUUUAAACAAAAUGGGGAUUAAACGAAGGCAUAUUUUCAUUAGCGGAUCAAUUUUGAUUUUUAAUGUGAUUCGUGUCGAAAGUUGAUAACGUGAAGAAAUAAUUAUCAUCCUUCAAAAUCAUUGACCAAAGUGCAAUUCGUAUAAAGUAUUGAAAAUAAUUGAACAUAAUAAAUAAUAUUUUAAAUCUUUUUAUUUACCUUGAAAAGUUAAUCCCGUUGAUUCAACAACUGGCCAAAUGUUAUCAGCAAGAUCACACCAAAUGCUUUAGCAAGAUCAACAUUGAAUCAUUUGAGCACGAGACGUAUAAUAUGUUUGGUACAUUGUAUAGUAAAAAUUAUCUCAUUCAAUAUCGAUUAAUAAAAGUAUUUAAUGUCACUUGUAUAUUAAUAAAAUUUGGGGGCGAGCAUAGAUAAUGAGACAAAGUCGUGGGUCCUAUGUAAUAAAGAUAGUUAAAGACACCCUAAGGUAUUAAUGAUUAAUUUUUCUUAUUUAUUAAUGUUAUAAUUUUUAGAAUAUUUGCUUCCGUCACUUCCAAAUUAAAAAUCUCUUAUUUCCUCACAUUAGAAUUUUCGUUUUUUUUUUUUAAUAAAAAAUGCAUUUAAAUUUUAGGUGGGAUUUUGCUAAAUUACAAGGGCACUUUUGUAAGACAAAUGCAAGUUUUAUAAGCAAAAUAUUGUAAAUUGAGUGAAUAAUAUUAAAUGUACGUUCAUUUCCUUACAUUGAUUUUGACAUCCUCUUUGUUUUCAAAAAAUUGUUUUUUUCUUUCUAAUAAUGUGUUGUCGCGUGACAUAAUAUAAACAAUGAUGUAAAAGAUGAUGUACAUGUAACAUAAUUGAUCGAGAAAUAUUUAAUGUUUAAUUUGUUUGUUAAGAAAGAAUAAAUCCACUUGUACAUAUUUAAAAAUAAGAAGGGAAGAGACAGACUAAUGUGUUCGAAAUGAUUAGAUGUUUUUGCUUUAAUUUUUUAAGCUGUUCAAUCAUGCGUCUACAUAUGUCCCUUUUGAAUUUCAAUUUGAGUUUGGAUAUGUAGCACGAUUGUUUUGGAUGGUUUCUAUUCAUCCUGGUCGUUAAAGUAUAUCCAUUUUUAACUAAAAGAUGCUUAUACCCUUUACCCACUUAUACUUAAAGGUUGACAUGUUCUAAAUUCUUGAUUCUUAUUUUCUUUUGCAGUCAUAAUAAAAAAUUCAUAUAUAAAAGAGAUAGAGUAAGAAAUAUCGCGUAAAAGAGAGAGAAAAAUAAAUCCAUAUUUGGUAGGGAUUAAAUUUAAAAUUUUAAUUUAAGUCAAAGCCAACAAUUGAUUUUAACUACAUAUUUUAUAGGUUUCACAAUUUUUUUUAUCAUUUUUUUGGUUGUUAGAAUGAUAAUUGAUAGUAUUGGUACUGUAUUUUGAAUAGUAAUUUUUUGGAGCAUUUGUGAUUAAAAAGUAAGAAAUUUUUUUUAUUAGCGUGUGAAAUAUUUUAUUGUGUGAUUGAGAAAUUAAAAACGUGUAUGAGAAUUAAAAAAAUUGUGGAAAUUACAUAGAAUCCUACUUUUAAAGAUUUCAUUUCAUAAAUCAUAUGCUAAGUUACUAUUUUAAAAAUCGGUUGUUUUGUUAAUUAAUAGAUUAUCAUUAGAAAUUAAUUAUUUAUCUACUUUUCCUCAUAGUCGCUCUCUACUCUCUCAUCCUCUCUCCGUGCUCUAAUUAAUUGAAAUCAAUAUCUGUAAAUUGUCAUAAUUCUCCACUGCAAAUGGAUUCGCUAUCUGGAAGUGCACACCACAACCUCUUUGCGCCCUAACUCAGUGGGAUUGUGGUGUAGCCGUGUAGAGGUGUAGAGCUGCUCCGAUGAGGUGUUAUGAGAUUGUUGAAGAGGAUGAAGGUGGCGUAACAGAUUCGUGGAGUAACUUCUAGCCAGGUGAAAAAUAUUGGCGGCGGACGAAGAUGGUUGUGGUUUUGGAUCCGCCAUGGUUUUGAAAUAAUUUUUCUGAUGGUUUUUGGGCGUGAAGAUUUGAUUGAUUUUUGUUUGUUGGUGGUAGUGGUCUCCAUAAUAUUGCAACGUUGGGGUAGGUUUAUUGGCGGUGACGGUGAUAGAUUGGGAGCUGCUGAUGGAGGAUCUAAAGUUGGUGGGGGUGAAUUUGGCUGUGCAUCUGGCGAUGGUGGUGAUGAUAGUCGUAGCGAUGACGAUGGUGGUCUAGGAGUGGUUGGGGGUGGGGGUGGUUCUUGCGACGACAAUUUUGAUGGCGAUGCGGUUGGUGACAGUGGUGAGGUGGUGGUCACAAAUGGUUUUGUUGACCACGACUACUAAAUUGGUUAAUUUGUGACCAAUAAACAAUAUGUGACAACUGAAAAUAUAAAUUGUGAUUAAGAAAUAAUGUAUGAACUAAAAAUUUGUUAAUUUGUGGUUUGUGAUCGAUAAAUAAUUCUUGACUUAAAAAUUUCUAACUUAUGAUCGAUGUCAAAUUGUGAUAUAUAAAAUUUUUGAAUUAUGACCAUAAAAUAAUUUGUGACACAUAAAAAUUCUGAUUUUGUGAUCGAAAAAUAAUAUGUAACUAAGUAAAUCGUUAAUUUGCAACCAAAUUAUAUAGAUAUGUGAAUUUAAUAUAUUUAAUUGAUGAAAUAUAUAAUUAAUUAAUAAAAUUUAAUAAAUUUUUUGAAAUUUGAAAUUUUUGUUCAUAAUUUUGAAAUGAGUGAUAGUUAAUUUCUUAAUGAUGAAUUUUGAAAGGAGAUAAAUGGGCUCAAUAACCUUAGCCAAACGUGCUCGGCCCAAAGGUAAAAUUAGUUUGGGCUUCAAGUUGGGCCUUACCUAUCUACUGUCUGAACGACGUCGGCAAAAACUAGCCCGGCCCGUAUUCACAGCUCGCUACAUUUACCGGUAAACAACAAUGGUGGAUUCAGCUCCCAUUUUGUAAAACCUAAAUCCCAUCCGAUCGAGAAGAAGAAGAUGAAUACAGACAUUACGGCAUCGGCGAAGCCGGAAUAUCCAGUUGUAGAUCGGAAUCCUCCCUUUACGAAGACGGUGGCCAAUUUUAACACCCUCGAUUACCUCCGUCUCACCACCAUUACCGGCGUCUCCGUAGUUGUCGGCUACCUCUCCGGUACUCCUAUUCAUUCCUCAUUUCUGAUUCGUAAUUAAUUGUGGAUAAUGAACACUGGAGGUCACCAACUUCGAGCCAAAUUUAUAGAACUCCAUACCUUAAAAGUCUUGGCAGCAGAAUUCUGUUUCUAGGAAUAUUUUAUGAAUUCCUUUCCAUUUAGAUCUGUUAAAAAAUCAAUUCUAGCUCCUCAAAAAAAAUUUUCUUUUCCAAACUCACCUGUAAAGUUUCUAUUUUGUUUGUUUUUUUUUUUUUUUCCUACAUGAUAGGUAUUGAUGUGUCAACUCUUCUUGAUGGUAGUUCACUAGAAGCUGAUGAAACAAGACACGAAAUUUGUGCCAUUGAAAUGAAAAAUUUAACAUAUGCUCCUGUUAUCUAAGCAGGAAGUUCACAAGUUGAAAGGCAUGAUUAUUGCAAAAGUGGAUAAGACUACUAACAAUCCCCAUUAACUUCCGCAUUGUACACGUAAGAAAAUUCAAUUUUUGUGAAGGAAUGUUAUUGAUGAUCAAAUCAUCAAACUGAAGAUUUGGUGAUGAGUUUGAAAUUAAAAGAAAAUAGCUGAGGGACUUAAACCCAAUUGAUUGAUUAUUCAAAAAGAUGUGUUGUUGAUUGUCUUUUUUCUUUUGAAAUUGAUACUAGGAAUUAAGCCGGGGAUAAGAGGGCCAUCAAUGGUGACAGGUGGUUUGAUAGGGGUGAUGGGAGGUUUCAUGUACGCGUACCAGAACUCAGCUGGGAGGCUCAUGGGAUUUUUCCCCAAUGAAGGCGAGGUUGCCAAGCACAAGAAACAUUCAUUCUAGGGAUUAUCUGACACUUUCUCUUUACAUAAUUUUGACGAGAAACUUAGAAAUCUUGGGCAUGUUUCUAUAUUUUUAAGCUCAUUUAUGUAAGGAUUUGCAAGUUUUCAUGCUACUCUCAAUAACCAAAUUGAAAAAUGAAUCGCUCAUUUUGAAAACGCUUGUUAUUUCUAUGUGUAAUUGCUGAACUACUUUGCAUCUUGAAAUCUGAUUUACUCUUCUAUAUUUAAUUGCUCUUUGUUAGAUCUCCAAUGUUUACUUUCUCUGAAUUUAUUGCCUAAGGUUUAUUUACCAAUCCUUGCAAUGUUGGUGAUGAUAUUAGAUUAUGAUGAAAGUUCAUACUUAGUAACUUUGUAGCUAUCCUUUUUCUUGACACUGAGACAUAAUUACUGCUCUUUGAUGCCUGCCAUCUUUUAUCGUGGUUAUGGCAAUAUUGUCUUAAUGAGACAUUCUUGCCAAGACAAUAUUGCCAGUCGAGUUCUUGAUGUUGACAUAGUGAGUAAUUGCUGAAGAAUAUCGUGGGCAAGGUCAUAUGAUUCUGUUUGAAGGCUGUUAUUAGUGGAAAAAAUCCCUCGUCUAGUGGAUAAGCUGCUUAGAAAGUUAAAGAUUUUGCUAUAGAAAACUGCUUGAUGGUUUGCAAUUGCUGAAAACAUCUCAAAUGGGAGACCUACCACUAUACCUCUCAAGGGUAUAGCGGAAUACAAAGCCCUUAUCUGCACAGUUGAUACACUCUUAGAUAGAAUUUGAUUUCUCAUUAACAUUUUCGACUCUGUUUAAAAGAUAGUUCUUAGAUAGAAUAUGAUCUUAUCAUUUAACAUUCUUUUGGAAUUCUGCUUUUACAUUAAUUAAGAUUAUUGGACGUUAGCUUCACGUCGGUAGUGGAUAAGUGUUGCAAGACAAAGGUUUUCUAAAUGUGCUAGUGAGGCGUGUGUCUCUUUCUUUUUGGAAUCGAACCUCAAAAUGGAUAGAUUGGAUCGGCCUGGCUUCGGGCGCUUGAUCGAAUAAAUCUUUUAGGAAAUGUUUUUACCUGAUAUUUGAGAUCUUUUAGGAAAUGGCUUCUAUUCUUGGUUAAUCCUCAUUCAUUGUGAAUCGUAAGUGACACAAGAAAGUUUCUUUGUAUAGGAAACUACUAGGUUUAUUAAUUUUUACUAUUUAUUUGAAGGUAGUUUUGUUGAGGAACGGAAAUGAUGGGACAGUUCUAAAAUAAAGUUCGGGAGCAUUUGAUUGCGAGCAUGGAAUUUGCAUGGAAAAAAAAUAAAAUUCUAUGUAAUUCAAUUGCUUAGAAUCUAUUUAUAUGGAAAUUAUUACUUAAAUGUGUUUGAUUGGUUUAGUUUUCAACUUAAAAAAUAUUAUACUUAUCUAUUUUUUAUUGGUGGAUAGAUGAGAAAGAGAAAGAGGGAGUGAAUUAUCUGGAAAAUAAAAAUCAUUAAUCCCUAGAGAAAAUAUUUUCCUUAUUUUGGAGGAAAUUAUGGUCACAAGACGGAAAACAUGAACACAUGACUAAAAAUUAAAAACUAUUUUUCAUAAAAAAAUUGUCUAUAAAACACUUCAAAAAUAGGAAUUUGAGUAAAAUAAUAUUUUUGAUGAAAGAUAAAGUCAAUGAAACACACUCUUUGCAUGCUUGUCUUUUACUAUGUUCAAUGAGGACGGCUAGGUGAGUGGAAUUGUUGGUGNNNNNNNNNNNNNNNNNNNNNNNNNNNNNNNNNNNNNNNNNNNNNNNNNNNNNNNNNNNNNNNNNNNNNNNNNNNNNNNNNNNNNNNNNNNNNNNNNNNNNNNNNNNNNNNNNNNNNNNNNNNNNNNNNNNNNNNNNNNNNNNNNNNNNNNNNNNNNNNNNNNNNNNNNNNNNNNNNNNNNNNNNNNNNNNNNNNNNNNNNNNNNNNNNNNNNNNNNNNNNNNNNNNNNNNNNNNNNNNNNNNNNNNNNNNNNNNNNNNNNNNNNNNNNNNNNNNNNNNNNNNNNNNNNNNNNNNNNNNNNNNNNNNNNNNNNNNNNNNNNNNNNNNNNNNNNNNNNNNNNNNNNNNNNNNNNNNNNNNNNNNNNNNNNNNNNNNNNNNNNNNNNNNNNNNNNNNNNNNNNNNNNNNNNNNNNNNNNNNNNNNNNNNNNNNNNNNNNNNNNNNNNNNNNNNNNNNNNNNNNNNNNNNNNNNNNNNNNNNNNNNNNNNNNNNNNNNNNNNNNNNNNNNNNNNNNNNNNNNNNNNNNNNNNNNNNNNNNNNNNNNNNNNNNNNNNNNNNNNNNNNNNNNNNNNNNNNNNNNNNNNNNNNNNNNNNNNNNNNNNNNNNNNNNNNNNNNNNNNNNNNNNNNNNNNNNNNNNNNNNNNNNNNNNNNNNNNNNNNNAUAAAGUCAAUGAAACACACUCUUUGCAUGCUUGUCUUUUACUAUGUUCAAUGAGGACGGCUAGGUGAGUGGAAUUGUUGGUGUUCUUGACUACAAAAUUUGGGCUGGUAACUGCCACAAGUAUUACACUCCUUUGUCGACCUUUUUUUUUUUUUGUUUUUUGUUUUUUGUUUUUUGUUUUUUGCAUCACUUUUUUGCACACGAGUUUCUUUAAGGUUGUGCAAACUAUGUUUCAUCCACCCAACUCAUUAUUUUAUGGGCACUUGUCCCUUUUCAAUUGUAUGCUAAUUUUUAUAGGUAUAAUAAGUUUUCAAAUUUUUCUAUAGAACUAACAGUUUUAAGUAUAUAAGGAUGAUGUUAUCGAAAAUAACUUGGCAAUCGUUUGACUUGCUCUAAACAACUUUAAGGGUCUACUUGAUUGGAGUGAAUUCCAUAGAAAAUAUCACGUCUGAGGAAUUUGUUUUCUACUUUGGCGGUCUAAUACGAAUGUAAAAAUAGAGUUUGAAUUUCAAGGUACAAACAUGUUUUUGGUCAAUUUCAUAGAAAAUGCAUUCUUGUGAUUUUUUUUUUUUUCAAUUUACAUAAAAUUGGUUUGCUUUUUUCACAUUUGCAAUCAAAUAGACCCUAAUUGUUUGAAAAAUGAGUUGAAAAUUUUAAAUUGGUUAGAUAUACUUUUUAUUUCAAUUUCGUACAUCGACGGUUUAAUAUUCAUUUAUUAUUCUCACAUUUCAUAUUGUGAAUAAUAUUAGGGAAAAUUACACAGAAACUUGAUUUCAACAAUUUGAUACAAAGAUUUUUCUUUAGGAAAUGAGGUGCACCUCACAUCCAACCUGUACAACCACGCACCCCACGCUAAAUAAUAUUUUGCGCUACACCCCAUCCCCCUACUGCACCCCCACAAACUUUGCCCUUGGUGCCCUCUACCAACCUACUCUGGUUACCGUCACCAAAAACCAGCGACCACAUUCCCCUCACACCUCGUGGUGGAUUGGCACACAAAUUUUGUACUCACUUACACUGUCUAUGGUCGUCGUCCCGCUAAGUGGUGAUGGUGAAAGAUCUCCAACGUCGUUGAACACCAUCGAGAAGAUAAGAAGCAAUCUCUAGCAAUCGAAGUGGUACGAUCUAUGUGUCUAUGUGGUGAGAUAUGUUUGGACGAUUUGCAAUUUCCGGUGCAUCUGUGUUGGGUUGGUAUAGGUAGUGGUGAUACGAUGGUCGUGAGGUGACGUGGCAUUUGAAUGGAGCUGGAGGUGAAGGUAAUGGUGGAUUUGAGGAGGUGACGGUGGCUUUGGCCAUUUGAGUGAUGCCGUUGGUUGUAAAAUAGUGGGGUUGGGUCGAAAAGAGCAUUUGUGAUCAAUUAUUUAGGUAAUUCAUAAUCAAUAAAUAAUAUGUGAUAUAAAAAAUGUAUGAUUUGAAAUUGAAUUUUUAAUUGUGAUUCACAAUAUAUUUUUGUGAUGUAAUCUUGUGAGAUUUGUGAUUGAUAAGUUACUGAGAUCAUAAAUUGUGUGUUAGUGACAUUGACUGUUUAAUUAAUUAAUAAAUCACAAAAUUAUUAUCAAAUUUUAUUUUAUAAGUUUCUUAUUUUUUUUGUAUGUGUCUAGUGAUGUAUUUUCCCCAUAAUAUUACUACCAACAAGCAUAUAGUGAAUAAUGGGCCCGGUUUUGCUUAAGUCCAUUAAAAAGCAGAGGUAAAGACAGCCCACUAUUCGUUAACGUGGGCUUGGUCAUUUGGCUCGAUUCAAAUCGACGUGGACAAAUACAAACGUCCCAACUCUAUGGCUUUAAAUUAAACUUAUGAACCGGCCGAUUCCGAUUCUUAACGUUACCAAUUUCAGAUUUCCUGGCGAUAAAUUCCGGUAGUCUGAAUUUCUUGAUGGAGACUGUUUCUGUCAAUUCACCCAUACAAGCUUUCCCCAGUUCAAAGCACAGGUCAAGAAGAGGCUUCACCACAAAGCAUCCACAGAAUUAUGGGAUGAAUUUCAGUCCCGACACUGCCGCCGCAAAUCUCCGAUCUACUCCAAGAAGCCGCCACGCCGUCAGUGACAUCUCCUCAGUCACCACAGACCCGGUUCAGGCGGAACUUACUUGGCAAAUUGUGGUUGGCGCUUUAGGUAAUUUUAAAUAAAUAAAUAGAUAUAAACAUUACGAAUUCUACUUUUUUAUUAGUAAUUUAAGAAAUAAAAAAUAGGUUUAAAUUUGUGCAGCUGGUGUUACGCCUUUUGUGGUGGCUGGAGUUGAAUUCAGUAAGAGAAUUGUAAGUAAACCUUGCAUUAUUUUGUGAUAUCUAUUAAAAUUAUUUGAAGUUAUACUGUUACAUACUAUCAUUUAUUUAUCUUUACUUUUAUUUUUAAAUAUAUUUAGAAGUGAAUAUUUUGAAUCGAAGGUGUUGUUUGUAAUAUGAAAACCAUGGCAGGUGGCACAGAGGAAAUGUAAGGUAUGUGGAGGUUCGGGACUUGUUUUGAGGGAUAAGAAGUACUACUUCCGAUGCCCAGGUUGUGGUAUGUUUUAUAUUAAGUGGAAAUAUGGAAGAGUAAUGCCAUUCAAGCUCGUUUGAUAUGGUUUUUGAGAAAUCGAAGAGAAUUUUUGAGAUCUAAAGCUGCUUUGGAAUCUAUUUUGUUAAUUUUAUAAAAAUAAUUCUUCUAGUUAAAAAGGAGAUAGUUUUCGCUAAAAGAUCUCCUUACACAUAAAUCCAUUUCAAAAAAUAGUUUUCAAACACUAGUUUAGGUAGCUUCUUCUAGAACCUCUUUCACAAGAAAUAAAAACCUUGGCGAGGGAUUUCGAUAAACUUAGAACCAUGGUGUACAACCCCCUUACGAGAGGAGGGCCAAUGAUUUUUUUUCAUUAGGCAUAGGCCUCCCCUUCUGCGAGGAGACUGCUAUACAUCAUAGUGUCAACCUCGUUGUACGCUUAGCAAAACUCCUCAAUGCUAUGGGUGCAGGGUGCUUCACAUCAAUCUAACUAUCAUUUAAACAUGACUAAUAUCUCUUCAUUUUAUGUCUAAUUUUUAAGAGAUACCCAAUGGAGAGCGAAACUGAUACUAAAAGGGCUGAUAGCAUUAUUCAAUAUCAAAUAUUUUUUGUUUGGUUAUCACUUCAAUACGCAACCAUAAACAAAAUUUUGCUGUCUUGUCUUUCAUAUUGUCAAUUCCAACAUACCGAAGACGCCAACAAAGUGACGCUCAUUUCCUAUAUGCCUAUAAAACUUGAGUUUAGUUCAAUAAGCCCAACUUUCAUUUCAUUUUUUGUAAUGUUUUUCAGGAGGUUUUCUACCAUGGCAAUCAUGGAGGAGAUUCUUUACUGGUUAAAAAGUAAAAGUACUUUUUACGCAUAAGGAACAUGGAAAAGUGAAUGUAAUAUGCUAUUCUUUAAUGCAAUGUUACCAUAAAAUAAGCUUAUUCCUAUAAUUCAAUGAUAGAUUUGAAGAAACCAAACAUUAUAUUUACUGUCAACUGUUGUAUCUAGACACAGAUUCUACUGUUCUGCAUCUCCAAAUCUGAAUCGUAAAGUCCGUUAUUUCAAUUUUGAUCGUGUAAUAAUUGUCAUCAUUGGCUAUCGUCUUGUUCAUUGUAUAGACCAAUAUGGUUAUUCUGCAUCUGAAACACGCACAUAAAGUCGUAUGCAAGAUAUUGAAGCUUUAGUUAUUCAAUGACAGAAGAACUAAAAGAAGAAAGAAAGAGAGAGAGAGUUUAAUUCUAUAUGAUAUAUAUAUUCUAAGAACUCAGUUUACAAUUUUACGGGCCCAUAACUACUCUUCCAAUAUUUUGAGGACAUUGGUUAGAAGGGUGUAUAGGCUGAGUCUGAAAGUUAUGAGCUUCAACACCAUUUUCUCGAUUUCCAAACAGAUUCAAGCCGCCACCAUUUACAAUACCAUAGCAUGCUGGGAUUUGUACAUUAGUUCUAUUCUCGCAGUUAAUUCCAACCCCGAGAUUGAGGCCAAUCGAACUAUUAUCUACUGGCCUGGGUCUAGAGGUUCCACUCACCUGUGAGUGUCCCGAAAAUUCGUAGCUGCUGGUCUUGGCAGUCGGAACGUCAUGAUUGUGUUUACCCUCGUAUGUAGUUAUAACAGCUUUUGGGUCAUGGGAUGCCCUUUCAACAUGUUUCCUGACUGGGCAACUGGCAGUUGUGCACUUGUAAUAACUCCUGCACGGUAAAUCAAUGUAUAAGAAAUACUGCAUUUCAGUGCUAUAAAAUAUAUUGCAGCUUUGAUUGCAUGUAUAUGCACUGUUGAAGAGAAUAAAAAUUUGAGCAAAGCUGUUCCUAUCGAGACUUAAGGUCAACGUGCGAAUUAACUAAGCAGGCUUUGCAUGGUUAUCAGCAACAGGUUGAUACAAUGAAAAAGGCAUCCAAAUGGUAGUAUUAAUUCCUAUAAGCUCAUCUUUAUUCAUAAAAUUUCAUUUGGGGAAAAAAAGCAACUGUUGUGAAACUUGCAGCAGUGAAUGGAGUUGAUAUGUGUAAAGCAAAGGCUCGAGGAUCUGAAACAGUUUGGAGCAAGAACGAAAAAAGCUCGGAUCAUUCUACUACUUCCCUUGAUUGAAAAGCUCAUCAGGAUGCUCCUGAUUAUGCUUGUCUCAAUCCAAGUACAUUGCAGAUUUGCUAAAAAUGGACUAAGAUGGAAGGGCACUAGAUCUGUUCAACGUGGAAAACUCUCUCAUGCUUCAAAGUAGAGGCAAUGGAAGAUCCAAAGCUCUAUCGAAGUACUACAAUAAGGAUCCCCGAAGUACUUAUUAAUGUCUAGACCAAAUAUUUCAUAUGCAGUGAGCAAGUUGAGUCAAUUCUAGGAAAGAAGAAUUUAAGCCUAAAUGGAUUAGCAUUUGGAGAAUGGGUAAACUGUUCAGAUGAUCCGAGAUCAACAAGAGUUUCCUAUACAUUUCUGGGCAAUUGUUUGGUGUCAUGAUGCUCAACAAAAUGUUGUGCCACCCUCAAGCACAGAAUCCAAGUACAGGGUCCUAGCUCACGUCACUUCAGAAAUAGUAGCCCGAAGUCUUUACUAACAGAACUUGGAAUUAGGUCGCCUUACCGACCUAUGAUCAGUUGGGACAACUUAGGAGAAACUUUGAGAUGCAUUUCACAUAUGUAUCUCAAUAAACAGAUGUACCAACUUAUAAUCAAACUGCAGAUGAAUUAACUAACUAAAAGCCUAUUAGCUGGUUGUUUUCUCAAGAUGAUAGGCAAACCCAGGGUGGUAGCAAUUCCUGCUCAGCACCAGAAGAUUCCAGACUUCUAGAUUUUCAGCUCAGAAAGUCUGAAAGUUUAACUCACAUAAUUAAUGGAUUGCUAGAGCUGAUUUCAGUUAUUUCCGCAUGGUAAUGACUAUUAACUCGGAUCACCUAGUCUGAGUGAUUUCAAAACCUGGUGGCUUGGAUUUCUCUCUCUCUCUCAAACCUUUGGUGUAUUUUUAAGCAAAGAACUUGUUCUUCGUUGAUGAUUUCUUUCUCUUCUGGUAACAGUUGGAGUCUUUAUAUUAAUUUUACUUUAACUAAGAUCAAACCAUCCUAUUAUCUGUAUCAAAGGUCCACAAAUAAAGUUCAUUUUCCUAAAAUGGCCUCUUUUUUUCCAAAAAUACCCUUGGGUGAGGUAAAUGAUGUGACUGACAAGGAUUAUUAACUAUUAUUUUUACGACAGAAUUGUGAAAGCUACAUAAAUUACACAUAUUUUCAAAAUUUACCUAAAAUUCUGUACCAAGUCAGGAGCAUUUAUUUGUGUACGAAGGGAGUACAAGUUUAAUGUAAUACACUGACUAUUGAUACAAACACAAGGAAAAUAAACAAUCGAAGGAAAGAAAAAUGAAUAAGAAAUGGUUCUUAUUUUCUUUUUAUUUUGAAGUACUUGUUUAAGUUUAAUAUAUUUUAAGAAGUACCAUUUCAUUCUCUAAUGGAGAAAGAACUGUUACAAAUGAGGGCUAAUUUUAUUUUAAACCUUAUUUCUGUCCUUUCCCUUUUCUACAACUAUUCCCAGGAUAUUGAUUUGUUAAUUUUAGGAAAGAUGAGGGUCUGUGCGAAAAUUCUCUCAAAUACAUGGUAUGUUUGAUACCGAUGGUAAAUAAGUGAAUUGUCUUGAAACUUGUCGUAGUUAACUAGGACAGCAAUUAAAACUCUUAACAGACCAAAACACAAGCGAUUAACUAGAUAUUUGCCUAAUCAAGCAUCGCCAUUUUAUCGCAACAACUAAAAGGGGUAAUAUUAGAAAUAAUACGUAGUGCACAAAUGGUGUUUUAACUCAAUAUCCAAUCUUCUACCAUGUCAUUAAACAUAAAUUAUCACACACCUGGGAUUUGGAUUGCCUCGGACUACUUUCUGCCCAUAUUUCCGCCAUCUAUACCCAUCAUCCAGUAUAUCAACCUCACUCAUAGUUUGAACAACAACUCGUGGUUCACGGAUGGGCUUAACAACUGUUGUAAUAUCAAGACCAUCCUCCAUCUUCCUGCUCAGAUUUUUAAGCAAUCGAAACUAUUGUUAAGAUAAGAAUAGUAGAUCUUAAGCAUUUGUAAAACAGUAUUACCUUCGCUUUGAAAAGGGAUCAUCUUCAUCAAUGUAAUCAUUAGUGCUGUGAAAUUGUGAAUCUGCACCUUUUAGACCAUCCUCAUUUACUUGAUGAGGAGACGGAACUGGCGAGAUAUUCGGGUCCAAGUUACCAGUCAGAUUAUAGGAGCUCAACUUGUCUUCGACAAAGUUAAAAAACAUAAAAAUAAAAUAAAAUAAAAAUAAUGAGAAAAUAUAUUGCACUUGAACGUGAACAAAGCAAGCAAGCAAGACAAGACUACCAAAAAUUUGCACCAUAACAACAGAGGGAAAAAAAAUUUCAUGAGUGCCAGUUUGGUUACCUUCUUGACCAGUCCCUGUUACAUCCUUGUCCAUUUUAUCCUCAUGAACGGACAUAAAGGCGCCAGGAUUUUGUCUACGGGCAGGUACAGGUUUUUGAUGAUCAUGUGAACCCUUGUAGACAAUUUCUGUUAUCUGUCCACUUGGAGAACGUUCAAAAAUCUUUUUCACCUCACAGCCUGGAUAUGUACAUUUGUAAUAGCUUCGAGGAAAUUCACUUCCUUUAACAAGUUUCUGCCCAUAUUUUCUCCAGUUGUACCCGUCAUCUGAUGUUCUCUCAGCUGUUACUGGGACACCAUCUUUAUGAUCAGAAGGCGAAACUUGGAUGUCUGUAUUAGAGCAAUCUCCCUGGUUUAAUUCCUCAACAGUACCACCAGACGAUGCACCAUGUGUGCCAGUAAGUAUAGAUGGUCCAAAUACUUUUGAACUUGGCAGCUCACAUGUAGCCAGAGAUGAAGGUGCUGGAGGCUGCGAAAAGCAGUGAUCUUCAACUUGACUGAAGGGUCCAUUCUGCGGCCGGUUCAAACUUGAUGGGAUCUUUGACGCAAUAGAAUGAUGCCCAAAGUCAGUCCAAAUAUUCAUAAAAAACAUGGUUCAAAAUUUGCAUUUUUUCUAUGAUCAUCGAGAAUUAAAUGAAGCAAAUAGUGCGUGAUUAAAAGGCUCUGAGUUGAAUUUCCUGAAAACCUAUCCAAAAAAGUAAAAGUUGAAUUUGAAUUCAUCUUGAAAUGCCAAGAAUAGAAAACAUGAAGUUUUAUCCAGCCAUCUACUGACUUGUUCUAGUGAGAUCAUGUCGUUCUUGUCUUGUGCAUGGAAUCUUCUUUAGGCCCACAAUAACAUAACUCAACCAUCCCUCAAUUAAUUUUCAGUCGGUGCUACUUCCAGUUCGGGGUGUAUUAUCACUUCUUAUCCAUUCUAGCAUGACAAUACAGCCAUCUUAACAUCUUCAUUUGCGCUACAUAUAUCUUAUAAAUAUUUUGUCCUUUAUUACCCAAACAUUCAGUACUAUAAACCCCUAUCAACCAAAUAGCAAGUUCUAGGGUAUUACCAUUAGUCCUUUGGAUGAUAAUCUUGAUGCACGACUAGAUCCAGCAUGAAAAUUAAACUCGAAAAUGCUGGGCAUUCUUUCAUCACUACUAUUGCCACCAGGACAUUUUUUUCGCAAUGGCAGUGCCGAAGUUUCACCAUAUCCUUGCAUCAAAUGAGGCUUCAAAAAGGAACCUGUGGUGGGAGAAGGUUCUGCCUGCAAAAUGACAAGGAUUGAGAAGAAAAUUAAUGCUUAGGGAAAUAUUUCUCCCAGCCAUGAGUAGAAAAGAGAAAAAUAAAAAAUUGGAAUUAACUUUCUACUACACUUCAAACGAGAUGUCUUUCUCAAGUUGUCUUUUUUUCCUUUAAUGUCUGAAGAGAAUUUUUAUUCUCUCUGCAUAUAAAGAAGAUGCAUUUAUAAACAAGGCAAUCAAAUUUUAUACCAUAAAACCUCAAAGGUCAUCAAUUUUCAAGUUCCAAUGACAAUGUAAAACUUUGGAUGACAUGCUCUAUAGCGACAGAUGUCAGGCAUGAUCCGGACAAUCGGGACAGCAUAAAUUCUUCUGGUGCGGCAUUCAUAGAGCUCAAUUAUUUGAAAGCAAUGUCUUUUUCAACAGGGAACACCACAAAGGAAAAAUGACAAGCACCAAAAAAGAAAGGAAGAUUCAUUUUGUGAAGAAAAACGAGUGGAACUUAUUAAUCUUUUCUAAAGUCUAAAUUACAGAAAAAGGUUUAAAGGUGCCAAAGUUAAUUCCAUAAAGAAAACAAUAUAAUACAUCCUAAUGCAAGCAUCAGAAUCAAAUGGUCCCAAAUACUAAUAUUCUCCAAAUGAGCACUUGGACGAAAAAGAAACAGCCAACUAACAGCAUUAUGCUCUAAAAGAACCAAACAUCAAAUCAUUACGAACCCACAUAUUAAGUCAAUAAAUCAUUGAAAUUCCCCACUACAAGUACUUUAAAGUCAUUAAAAUGACCUGUUAAAUCAGUGGCAGAUGACUGAAAUCUGAAACAAAAUUUUUAUAUGUAUAUGUGUGUGUGUGUGUGUAUAUAUAUAUAUUUGAUAUUGUUGUAUUUUGUGUUUGAAAAUUCUUUCUGCAGUUAUUCAUCCCCCACUAGUUUCAAGUACUGGCUCCGCAUUGGCACCUUUAAUUAAAAAUAUUAAAAAUCUGCAUUUUACUGAAUUAAGAAUAAAUGAACAAUACACUUAAAUGUUUUGUUCCAGAACAGAUCAUUAUCAGUAAUUAAGGAUUCAAUCAAAAAAAAUGUAACAACUCUAAUUGCAUCCCAAAUGGUCAGGUUAAAACAUAGCUAGUGAGGUUAUAACUAGCUGGAACACCCUCAUGACAAGCCAGUAUUAAGAGUGAGUUGUACCAAUGUAGUCAAUUAGUCAUAACAAUUGUCAUCAAGCAGACACUCCUAUAACUCACAGCGGAUGGAGCUACCUGAAGAAGGCCACCUCCUCUAAAAGCUUAGUUUUUUUGGAAAGUCACCUAGCUGUUGUGGACAUCAAUCCUAAAGCAAGGGGUUAAUACUACAACUCUAGUUGCAUUUUAGAGUAGUUAAGUUAAGACUUUAGCUUGUCACUUCAUAACUACAUGGCUACUCUCCCCUUAGAUAUGCGUUACAAGCUGGUUACAUACAAGGUUGGGUUCUACCAAGCACGGCUGUAGCAAAGAAAGUCGGAAUUUCCUAAUCUUUUUGAUACUUAAGGAGCUUUAUUCACAACAGUUAACUCAGCAGUGCUUGAUAGACAAACUGGGUAUCGGAUCCGAAUCUGAAUCUUCCAAGCUACUACUCGCACAAUUUCGCAAUAAAUCAGCACAAAAAAAGUAGAAAGUGAAAAAUUAAUCUCGAUUAGUCAAAAGACAACAGUGACCUUGAUGUUCGAGAGAAGAACUGGCGAUUCGAGAAACGACGUCGGACUGAGUCCAGGAGGUACAGUAAUACAAGUUGACCUGGAGAUCGGGAGUUUCGCCGGAGACAUAAGCUUGUACUUCGCUCCGUUGCUCGAUCCGCCUGAGAAAACGGCUUCCACCCGAGCUGCGGCGCCAGUAUCCGGCACGCGAGUGCUAGCAUUAUUGGAGGGAGAGGGAGCGAGUGACUGAGUAUCUUCAUCCAUUAAUGAGAGACAAUUUUUAGAGAGAGAGUCUAUGGAAGAUUGUUUUCCUGCUUUUCGAGAGGAAGAAGAGGUAGUGGUAGUUUGUGUAAAUUCGUCAAAGAUGGAGGGUAAAUGACAUUAGAGGUCACGCAACUUCGGUUAAAGUUUCAAUUUAGUUAUUCAACUUUUUCUAUUCCAAAUUACGCAAGAUUGAAUUUCAUUUUAGUCGUUGUUUUGCCCCAUUUUUCAAAAAUUCAUUUUUUUCAAAAUUUAUUUUAACAACAUAUUUUAUGAAAUUCACAAUUUUUAUAAAUUUUUCAAUCAUAUAUUUUAUUAAUUUUUAUCAAAAGCUACUAAAAAUCUAGUUUUUUAACCAAAACAAUCAGGGGCAUAAUCUCUUACACGGAUAGCAUAGACGUUAACGAGACUCAUUAAUUACCUAAUCAUAUAAUCGUGUAUUUCUAAUUGUAAAGUUAUGACGAAUAUCGCAUUUAAGUGACUAUAGAUCCGGUUUGGUACACAGUAAUGUAAAAAUGAGAAUGAAAAAUAUAGUUGCUACGGACUCUACGCAAGAAAUAGAAAGUCAAAUAUGGUGGUUUGAUGUAAUGGAUAACGGUAAUAUUUUUUAUUUUAAUGGGCAAAUAAUGGGAAACAAACGAGGGUAUAUUUUCAUAUUAAAAGGAUUAGUUCAGCUUGAAGGUGGAAUUACAAGUAAGGAGUAGAUUUUUUUGUUUUAAGAUUGUCUAGAAUUUGUAAGCAAUAACUCAUUUCUUUAUUUGGUGUACCUGUUUGAGCAGGAUGAAAUGAAACAUUCAAGAAUGCUAAAUUCUUUCUUUUUUAUGUGUUAACAUGUAUAUAAUUGUUUUAAGUGAAAUUUUAUUUUUUACUUCUUAAAAAGUUAUAAGUCACUAUUUAUAAUUUUCUUUAUUGUUUUUUAUAUAUGUUUCUAUUUUGUUCUAUUUAAAGAGUGGCAUUUCUAUUAUUUAACCGUCAAAACUUAUGGAAUGAUUAGUUUUUCUAUAUAAUUGAAAUGUUGAAGAUGAAUUAUCCCUCUUACUAUAAAAGAGGGAAUCCGUUGGUUACUAUUCAUUUACGACAUAUUUUAUUUUUCGCUUUUGUCCUCAAAGAAAACAAAAAAAUAUUGACGCGUUGGUAGUAAUUUCAACGAAAUUUGUGUGUUAUUAAUGCCAUUGGUAGUCAAUUCAACACUGAAGCCAUUUCAACUAAAUUUUAUUAUUACUAUUAUUAUUAUUAUAUAGAAAAUAUUUUCUUUGUGGUCAAAUUUGAAAAGAUUGGUCAAUAAUGUAUAUAUAAAGGGGAUAAAUCUUUUUUGACGCGAUUUAGAAAAUUUUCUAAUAAACUUCUAAAUUAUUUUUAUUGUAAAAAGAGACAUGAUUUGAAAAUAAAAAAUUUUGAUAACAAGCUAACUUUAAAAAUUCAUCAAUGAUUGUACGGUAGUCGAAUCUAUAAAUGUUUUAUAUUCUCUCAAAACUCAUUUUGAGAAUUAUAUCAUAGACAUAUCGAACGAUUUAAAUGAAUAUCGAAAAUGGUUAAACGCAUAUCAAACAUGUGUAUUUAAAAAUGCAUAUAACUCGUCUUUUUUUAUUAAAAAAUCAAUUAUUUUCUUAGUGCUUGUUAGUUUUGCGCAAUAAUUUUUUUAAUAUAAUUAGAAUGAUAGAAAGUAUGUUUUCAUAAAAGAUGCAAUUAAAGGAAGAGAAUAACUAUAAUUGGAAAUUUGGAAGGGAAAAUUGCAGAUUUUGACUACGGUUAUCAGGAUCGUGCCCAUGACCCUAAUUUGGAAAGCACUUUUCGACACGCACGUCAUGCCCACCAAGCUUUGCUGGGUGGACAUCAUUUUUGAUGUCAAAUCCGCUGUUUUCCCUUUCAAAUUCCCAAUUACUGUUAAAAUAAUCAAGAUGUUUUUCUUUUUAUUUUGUUUUUCCCUCACGCGUGUUCCCAUGGCACUAAUUUUAGAAGUGGAAAAUUUUAAAUCAAUACGACACUUGCCCAUAUAUCAAUAAAUGAGACUCACGUGUGGACAAAAAAAAAAAAAAGCAAAAUGCGUGUACUGUUGGCUUUCUUACCACAUAAAAUUGAUCUAGUUUUCAAAGAUACUUUCUUACUACACAUAGAUAAAGUAACUGUAGUACGAAAUCAAUUCAGUAUACAUUCAAAAAAAAAAUGUUUGAUUCGAUAAAUAAAUUUAUAUUGAUCACAAAAUUAGUAACUUUUGAGUUCAUCUUCUUCAACCUUUGGUAAAAAUCUACAACAAAUCAAGGACAUUAGAGUGUUGCCUUCAAGUAAGUUCUUCUCAUAUUUUUUCUUUUUGUAUUAUGUUUAAUUUUUUGAAACUGUAUUUGAUUUAUUCUUUCUCUUUUAUCGGCUUUUCCUGUACGCAUAUUCGUAAUUUAGUUAACUAUCCUACAAGCUACUCUGUAUAUGGAUAUAAUAUUUUUUCAUAUAUUCAUCGUCGUGGAUUGAUAAAAAAUAAUAAAAUGUUUAAAUAUGGUUAACGUGAUGGUUUUUUAAUCCAUUUUCUGUUUGGUAGCUUAUUAUUCAAUGUCACCAACAGAGUGCGUCGUAUUUGUUGGUGUAAAUUUUGUUGAUACACACUUCGAUUUAAUUUUUUCCUCUUUACAUAAUUGUGUUUUACUGAAAUUUGUACCUAUUAAUUGUGUGGAAGCAUGUAUAUAUGUCGGUUAAGUGAAAAUAGAAAGUUACGUUCUUGAGAAAAUGAUUAGAACAUGUUAUUGUAAAAUGACCAUUUUUUCUCUCAUUAUUAAAACAACUUUCGGUAUAUUAUAUCAUAAUAAAUUUCUUAUUUCAGUUUUGACCAACAAUCUAUUUUAAAAUUAAUCAUUUGUUCGGGAAAAAAAUUAUGGAUCCCAUAAGUUAUGUUGGGAAAAAAUAAUUUUUAAGAACAAAAUCUCUCCCAAACAAACUCUAGCUUGCUUGCCCGAUAAAUAAACUUAUAAGCAAGGUGAGACAUCAGACAUGUUUAUCAUACCAAUAAGAAUUCAACACCAAAAGUUGACUACUAUUCGAAAGUAAGCGUGAAUAUUUCAGCUCCAAUGUCCUCCUGAAGAAUAAAUUAUUCUUCUCUUCUGAAGAGCUUAUUCCAUAGACUUGGCUUUUAUAUUGCCAAGACUUAUUGUUUUGUGUUUCUUCAGAAAUAAUUCUACUUUACACUCCAUAAUUCAAACUUUCGAGAGUUUAAUUAAAUAUUACUUUAUGUACAAACCUAAAUAUCCACUGGUAUAGUGAGAAUUUUAUCACUGUACAAGAAAAUAAAGCUUGAGAUAUUUGUUUAAAGUUGAGAUCAUACAGCAAUCAACAAAAAUUAGAGCACGUUCAACCGUGCUUAAAUAUAAGUAAAAGUUACUUUUAAGUGAUAUUUUAUUUUCAAUCAUGUUUGAAUGAGCAACUUUUCUCUUAUUUCAAAGCAAAAAAAGAUACCUUUAAUUGUAAUACUUACCGUAAUGUUAUGUCAAGUUUCAGUUAAUAAAAAUAAUCUCUCUACUGAAAGCACAUAUUGUACAUGGGAUUUUCAAUUAUAUAGUUUUAUUGUUCGUUCUUAUGCAACUCUGAUAAAAAAAAAAUUAGAUAGGGUAGAGAUGUGAGAAUAAGACUAUUUUUUAAGACUUAAAAUACGUAAGUAUAAAAUGCUGAAAAUAAAAGUGUAAAAGGGGUCGAACAUUUAAUUGUACAUGCAAUUUAUUGUUAGAAAUUUAUUGAAAAUAUAGGGAUUAUUUCGAUUUAUAAGUUAGGCGGUGUAAAUUUCAUAAUCUUCAAAUAAGAUGGUUACCAUAGUCAUCUCCAUUAUUGUAGUUCAAUUGCUUUUUUUGCAGGUAAUUUUAUUUUAUUUAUUUAUUUAAGCCUUCUUUAUUAUAUAAAUAUAUUGAGUCUUGAUAAAUUAUAUUUUUUUAAUGUUCAUUUUAAUUUACUUCUCUUUUUGUUCAUCUUUCUAUUAAGAGUCUACUACUGAUUACUGACUAUUUCUUUCUAUUUUUAUUAAUCCUUACUUGUUUAAUCUAUUGCUACUAAAAUUUCAUGGAGGUAACUCUAUUUCUCAUUAGCUUCUAAUGGUUUUUUCUCCAUAUUUUUAUCAUUUAUGUUUAACACAAUAGGUCUUGCUAAUAUUCUUAAUACAAAUAAAGAACUUAUCAGCCAAAUACUAAAUUUUUUCAUUCAACAAUCUUUCGACUAAAUGUUCCCUUUUUCUCUUCAUCCUUCGCAUUGGAAGAAUAGAAAAAAAAUGAUAUUAUUCAACCUAAGACCUAUUUAAAUGUAGCAAAUAAAAACGAAAAUUUUUUCUAUUGAAUAAUUACAACAGUAUCAUGGAAAUGAAGUCCUUAAAAUAUUUCAACAAUAAAUUGUUAAAUGAAUAAGAUAGCCUUUGGCGGAGAAAAAUAAUAUUUGGUUGAAACAAAUACUUAAAACUUUUAAUGGAAUUAGUAUUAUGUACUACCAUCCAGAAAGGCAAAACAACUGCACAACAUCAGUUACUCGACAAUGCAAUAGUUAUUAUGAACUAGUAAAAAAAAUCACGAUAUCCUACAGCCAAGUUAAGGCGAAAAUAAACUUUUUAGUCAAAUUGAUCAAUCUUCAAGCCAAUAGCAUGCUAAAAGGUAAGGCAGGACAUAAGUUCAAUAAAAUAUCAUAUUUCAAUUUUGUUGGUAAUUGUCUCUUUUAUUGUGUUUUUUUCUUUGAACAAAUAAGGACUUUCUAUUACUGCUUAACUUUUAACGUAUAUAUUUAUCAAUUGUCUCCGUAGUAUAAAUAUUAUGUCAAACAUGGUUGAUCUACCACACCGUUUCUUUACAAUUAUCACAAGUUCAUUGGGCCAUAAUGAUCGUUUGGUGAGUUCUAAAAUGAUCUCUUUGUUCGUAUUUAUUCAUUGGGCCGUAGUAUUCAUUUUGUAAGUUUUAUAACUAAAUAUAGAGUAAAUAAUAUUCCUUACGGGAGUUAUAUUUUUUUUAUAGUUGAUCCCGAUAACUUUUGUGCAACGAUUAGGACACGACCUUACUGAUGCAGUACGUUUGAUUAGUUAUGAUGGAAUUAUCUGCAGCAUACAACUCGAAAGAGUUGAUGAUAAAAUAUAUCUUGCUACUGGAUGGCCACAAAUUUUUUACCCCCAUAAUUUGCAAGAUGGUUAUAUUAUUGUCUUUGAAUACAAUGGAAAUUCUACUUUCGAUGUUUUGAUAUUUGACCAUUCAGGCGUAGAAGUGACGUAUGAGUCUGAGGGAUUUGAGGUAGAAAUUUCACGUAGUGAUAAUCCUAUUUUUCGAGUAACAUUAGAGGCUGCUCGCGAUAGUCAUAGAAUAAUUGUGAGCUCCUCUUUCACUAGAAUCUCUUCUACCUUUAUCUUUCUCGAACUACACGUAUGAAACAUUUUCAUAUUUGUUUUUCUUAUCUAAUUCGAAAUUUUACAACUUAUAGAUUUGUCAUUCUAUUUUGCACUAUGUACCUGGGGCCUUCGCUCGAUUAUAUCUACCAAAAUUUGUCCAGAGUGUUCAAAUCCAUGAUAGUUCACGUUAUAAUUGGUCAGUACGAACGAAUCUAAUAACCAAUGGUUAUGUGCGACGUUUCACCGUUGGUUGAGCGGAUUAUGUGAGGGAGAAACAACUUCAAAUAAGUGACACGUGUGUAUUUGAACUUGUGGACGAUGAAAUCCCAAUGUUCGUGGUUUACAAAAUGUGUCGCACUAAUGGAAGUUUCACUCUCACAUAAAUUUUACAUCUUCAUUCGAGCUGUCGUGUUUGCUUGUUAUGGAACAUCUGUUCUGUUCUCUUAUGUAUAAACACUAUAUAAUUAGAUCCAUUGGGAUUUUGACUUAUAAUUUGUUUGUGUUCUUUUUACUUCAAGAUUGCACCCAAUUUGUAAAUUCUGUUCAUUUUAAAUAGGUUGUAACAAAAAUAUGAUUUAAUUAUUUAUAAUUAACCUAUAUGUUAAUAUCCUAUAUUUGGACUUCAUGCAAUACUACAUCAUCGUCAUUUGAAGACUGGCAUCCGUCUAACUAAAAUUAUUCCAAGUAAAUAUAUGAUUUGUAAUUUUAUAAACAAUAUACAAAAUUAUUUAUUCGAACUCUUAGUGUCUCCACAUUUUUCUGCAGAUACAUCUAGGGAGUCAAAUAUUAGCAAUAGUGUUUGAGACUUUGAGCCUCUUCCAAAGCAUUUAUCACUAAAUUUAGAAAGAACUCUCCCAAAAGCCUACCAUAAUUUAAAUGAGCAAUCAAAUAUCUUCACGAAAAAUUUCUCUUUUGUUUAUAGCUACAAAAUGAAUAUGAUAUAGCUCAAACCAACAAUGACUUUUUUGUUAAAAUAUUUUAUUGUUCUUUUAAAUUAUAUUGUGCUUUCGGGAGACUCCUUUCUAAUUUAGUGAUGAUUACUUUGGAAGAGGCCCAAACUCUAUAUUUCAACAUAAUAUUACAUUGAGGUAAUUCUUUAACUAACAUUUAUUAUAUAGCAUUAUUUUUCCAUGAUGUCAUUUGCUGCUUUUGUAUUCUGUUUUAGAAUGGACUUCAAAAGGACAAUUUAAUCGACCCUAAUUACUGGUCAAUACAUGCCUAGUUGCACAAAAUCCAUUAAGUUUUUCUUUGAUUUAUAUUAUUACUAAUAUUAUGCAUUGAAUAUCAUGCAGGUAAGUGAAGUGAGAUCUAAUCUUAAUGAGAUUGGAUAUGACGUUAAUUUAAUCCAUGAGAUGGUAUCUAACUUGAUAAGCUAUCACAGCAUGAUUGUUUAAAUAUGAUGUAAUUGUACCUUUUUUUUGCUAUAUUUUUUAUCUCACAAUAAUUCUUUCUAAAUAUCUUUAUGAUGUAGGAAACUUUUUAUGAUUACAAUGGACCAUCUAAUAAAUGAUCAAGUCAUACAAAAAAGAAAACUUAUCUAAUCAUUGUCAUACCAGUUUGAAGACAACAUCAAUGCCACAACAUAAAAGUUUUAUUUGCUCAUUUUGUCCUUUCCAUCUAAAUGUUUCUACUACAACCACCUCCAAAGCUUUGUUUUAUUUGGUAGCACUGAUGACAAUAAUUUGUGAGACUUUUGGCUUGUAACUUUUUUCUAUUUUCAAACACUGCUUGUGUAAAAACUCUUCUAUGAAGUUUAAGUUUAGCAACAAUGUAUAAUAAGCUUCAUAAUGCUUUAGCUUCUAACUUGAUUAUGAAGAUAUAAUGAGUGCGGCUUCUGAAACAUAGAGAUCAUCCUUCGUUUGCUUUUUAUAAUAUUUGCUUUAGUCUAUUAGUUAACACUUCAUUAUAAAUCAUUAACAGAAUUCUUUUUCAUAUUGAUUCCUCCAUCACAGCUCUAUCUUUUUUAACUUGCCCAAAGUAAACUUUGCACAAUUUCAUUAUUCCAUCAAAAGUUCUCUCUCCUUUCUCAAUUAUCUACAUUACAAAAUAAAAUUUGACGAUUGGUGUCUAGAAAAUAACCAAUACCACUUUACGCUAUUACAUACUAAACUGUACUAUAGGCACGUGCAACCUACUAGCAUUCCUUUAAAAGAAUGAAACCCUCCUUCGCUUUUCAUUUGUGUAAUCUUUUUUUCACACUGUAAGUGGUUAAUUACUAUUUAUUAGCUUGUUCAGAUGUGCCAUAUAACUUAAUUGGUUUGAAUUUGAUUAUUUUACGUGUAAGAAGUCAUGAAAUCUGAUGUGCACUGUAGCUGUUUGUGUGUAGUAAAAAAAGAAGAUGUCAGUGAUUUUUCCAACUUUGUCAAACGUGGGCCAACAUUCAUUAUUUGUCUGAAAAUUUGACUUAAGUGUUAUUUUUGGUUGUGUUGAAAGAAGAGCAAAAGUUGUAUAUUUCAUAUGUGCACUGUAUCUAUGUGUUGGAAAAGAAGCAAGUGUAAAAAAUAUCUUUCAUGUAAUAAUAAAAUAUUAAAUAAGUACAAAGCAAAGAUAAGAAUUAAGAGCUUCCUUACAUGUUAACUUCCCUCUUUUGUUGAAAUCCUCUCUCGUUCCAAUACUUCGAGACCUUAGAAAUCCUCUAUUAUCUAAAAGUCUCUUCUUUUUCAAAUAGAUUCACAUAUAACUUCCAUUUUUCCAAACAAUUAUUGUGAAAAUAGAUUGUUUUGUUGAAGGAUCGUUGACUUAGAAAGUGAGCUUUACCAUUAAGGAUCUUUGAAAGAUUAAUUGAUCGGGAUUAUUUAGUUUGUUAACUUGAUUCUUGAUUAAUUAAUAAAUGGGCUUGAAAAAGAUAAGCGAUUUCUUCAAUAUUGAGGAUGAAGGAUGUUGUAAUGUAAUACGACGCCAUUGUUCAUUGUCACAUACAUAAUUUUUUUUCCAUUUUUACAUCAGUCACGAGGCUUCAAAGAUUCAUUUAACCUUUACACUUUCUCUCUGCAAUUUUUAUUUUUAUUAUAAUUUCUUUAUUAUUUAGAUUAAUACUACUUGUAGGUAUGUUUUAUUGAUUUUUUUCUUAUCCUUUUUUCCAUCAAAAGUUGUAGAAGAGAUUUCUACAGAAGUGGCGGUGGAAAUCAACCUUCUUGCUAAAAAUUAGAGGUCCAUUAUGGGGGGUCUCCUUUGUCUAGUUUGCUUAAAUAUAUAUUGAUCAACAAUUUUUGCUUUACAUUCUCCAUCCCUAUUUUCCUUCUAUUUUUUCGUAGCCAUAUAAGUUUUAUGAUGCAUAUUAAUAAUUUGAUGAAAGAUUUUAAAUUUUUUCAAGUAGUGCAAGAUUGUAUUUUGAUGUGUUUUUGGUGAUUCGAAAAACCUUUGUUAGGUCGAAAAACCUUUGUUAGGUUGCGUAAGUUUUAACUAUUUCUAGAUGAUUCUUGUCAUUAAAUUCUAAAUCAAUUAAUUACUUUCUAAUCUAAGUGACAAAGACAUAAUGUGCUUGACAAUUUAAUCUUUAGAUAAUCCAUAAUUGCAAAAAAAAUCUCUCUUACGAACAUCGAAUGAAAUUAUUUAAUCAUACUUGGAACCGAAGAAGGCUUGCGAAGGCGCUAUGAAACUGACAACCAGACCAAUGUCUCUACCUUGGAAAAAAACAUGAAUGAAAAUCAUCUACAUUACUUUAGUAGUAGUUGGCAAUCAAGUAAGAAUGCAUGUGUGCGGUUCCUUAAUGAAAAAUUCAUAGCUACAACUUUUCCAACAAUAACUUGCUACUUUUGAGAUUAAGAGGUUGAGAUGGUGCUCUGAGCUUUUUUCUUCUUCUUUAUCCUUUAUAAUGUAAACAUUGUGAUCUACCACUGUAUCUUUCUCGUACAUUUACUGUCAAUAUAUAUGAACUUUUGUACUUUUAUGAAAGAAUACUGUCGCAAUCUAUUAAAUUUUACUCGUUCUUUAGCUUUCAAUUCUACACACUUCUAAUAGAUAAAUAAAGCAAACACGGUACUUAUAUUCAUAUUAUUAUUUAUUGUAAUGUAAAAAAAAAUGUUCUAUUUACAGCCUUAUUUCAUUGCAUUUAGCCAAUAAUAUAGCAUUCCAACCAUACAAACCAAAAAAAUUCAAAACACAAACUACCUCAAAAAAAUUUCUUGACAUUACACAACUUUGUUUUCUUUGAAUUGUUAAAUUCAUAUAACAUUGAACACACUAACAACACUUCCAAAAAAGUGUAAACCAUGCAUCGCAUGGGUAGAAAAAUAAUGUUUAAAAAAGGUUGAUGGUUAAUUUGUUACAUUUUGUAAAGAUUGAGGACAAAAAAUGCAAAAUUUCUCACUACAAUUAUAAGUCGGUAAAAAUGAAUGAUGGAUAAAUAUGCACUACUUAUGGAUCCUGUGAAAUGGCCAAGGGUCAAAUGGUAGAAUCAGUGUUAAAUUGAGAUUCACUUGUAAUUUAAAAUAAUUAAAUAACCAAUUUACCAUAGGUUUACAAAUAUAGUUAAAAAUUUUUAUACCAAACCUUAGUAGUAGAUUUAAUCCAAACUUUUCAUCCGUGUCAUCGUAGGUACCAAACCUUCACAAAAUUUGCACCUCAAGUAAAAAAUGACGGCUUCCAUAAAUAUGACCGCAAAAACUAUUAGUUGACCCUAGGGCUGGACAAAUCUCCCGAACCGAACCGAUGGAAUCGAAUCCGACGGUUCUUGUCAAAUUAAAUACCCAAACGGGUAUCUGAAUUGAAAAUCGACGGGUACAGUUCGGUUCUUUGUUCUAGACCAAGAACCGAAGAACCGAAUCUUUUUAAUUUUUUUUAUAUUGAAUAAAUCAAAUUAUUUUAAUUUUAAUUUUUUAAAACAAAUUAACAAUUUCUAAAUCCAAAUUUUUUGCCCAAUAGUUUGUUUCAUUUCUAAUUUUUUUUUUUAUUUUUGGCUCAAUUACCCAUUUUAUUGUUUCAUUUCUUAGCCAACCCACUAAAUAACCCUAAACACCUACACUAAAGUGCAUAACGCUGUCUCGACUCUCGCACUCACUCGCAGCCUCGCUGACAUUCCAAAACCUAUACAAUCGUCGGUCGACACUAUGACCUCCGAUCGAAACUUUGACCUCCGCUGACCGAAAUUUUGACCGUAGCGAUCAUUUGAAUAAGUUAAUCUACUAAUCUCUGACAUUUCAAAAUCAUUGAAUGUGUCAUUAGUUGUAUUUAUAUAAUGUUAUUAUAAAUGUUAAAAAAUUUAAUUAUAGUACAUAACCGAACCGGACCGAACCCGAACGGUUCCAUAAUUAUAUUUGGACCCAACGGUUCCAUUUACUAGAUACCCAAAAAUUUUGGUUCGAUUCAGUUCUCUUUAGAACCGAAUCGAACCGACCCGCGCCCACCCCUAGUUGACCUCGAAAAUUAAAAAUUUAAUAAAUUUUCCCAAAUAAGGCAAUGAUAUUUUGGACACAACAUAUUUCCCUAUUAAAUUAAAAAAGCAAAAAUCAAAACCACAAUUCCCACUCCUAUCUCUUUCUUCCCCUACCACCUCUUCCCAAAACCAAAACCACCAUCACCUAAUUGCCAGCAACCACCACCACAGUCACUGUUGACACCACCGUUGGCACCAUUCUUGUGUAUCUUCCCUUCAAGGCAACACACACAUGGAGCUCAAGGAUUCACGAAACAAUAAACAAAUCAUCACCACCACUGCAUUUACCUAAAGCCUAGCAUUUCCCAAUUUUGUCUCGAAAACUAAAGCCCAACAAAUAGGUGCGUGGAAAGCUAGUGUUGCAGCUGAAAUUAAAGAAAUAGUUGAUUAUUGCAAUAGAAAAAAUAUACUAACCUAGAUAAACCAUUGGCCACCACCUCUUUUUUUUUUUGGUAAGAAAAAAUUAUUGAGUCAGAUUUUGCACCUCCAGAUUGGUAAGAAUUAAUGGAUUCCCCAAAUAAGGCAAGAGAAAAAACCAAUUGCAUCUCCCAUGUUUGAGAUAUGCUACACUUUUUUGAAGCUUUUCGAAAUAAUAGAAGGACAAGCUCCAAAUUAGCAGACUGUCGACUGUGGUGGAGGUCGUGGAGACGGCCUACAGCUGAGUGCGGGUAAUUUUGGUUCUAGGGUGAUGGGUUGGAGAAGGAAAUUGAGAAAAUGGUGGCAGAUAGCCACCAAAAAUAUACAAUUUUUCAAAAUGGCCGUUGACUACUGUUUAAAAAAAUUUCAAACAUUUGUAAAAACCUUAAAAACAUUGAAAACCCAAAAUUGCCCCUGACAUUUCAUUCUCAAAUCGACGUUUGGAGAAAGAAGGGGAAGAAAAAAACAAGGAAACCAACGAAUUUUUCCUGGGAGGAAACUGACCGGCCAACAUUAGAAGCGAAGAAAGUAAGUUUUGUUUAUUUUUUCCCCCAUUAAUCUUUGAACCUGAAUGUUAAAGGUUUAUUUUGUUGGAAAUAGUGGUAGAAAUCUUUGUAAAAUAUGUAAAAUUACUAAAAAGUAAGUUUUUGUAAGGUUUGGUUGCCGAAGAUCGCCGAAAAUGGCGAUCUCCGGACAAAGGCAGACGGCCUCUGCAAGAAGAGAUACGGGAUUUGCCGUCUGUUAACAGACAUCCAAUCUGCGCCGUCUUAGGCCUUCUGUUAACAGAUUGCCUGGGCCGUCUGUAGUAUUAAUUUUUUAUUUUAAUUUUUUUCAUGAGAAUUAAAAUAAUUGAAAUGUUGUUAAAUUAUUAUUUAAAUAAUUAUUUAAAUGAUAAAAGAAAAAUGUAAAUAAUGAAUAAAUGUUAAUAAUCAAAAUAUGCAAUUAAAAUUUAAUUACAGAUUAAUUGCAAGAAAUUUUUAAUAUUUGAAAUAAAUAAUUAAAUAUUUACGUUUACUUGUUAAAUAAAUAAUUUAAAUAAUCGAUCUAUAUAAGUAAUUAAAUCAAAUAAUUUGAAUGAACAAUUGAAAUGAAAAACCAUUGGAAUAAAUAAUUAAUUGAAACUCACAAAAAUAAAUAAUGAACAUUUAAAUAAUAAUUAAAUGAUUAUUUAAAUGAUAAAUAAAUAAAUGUUAUUAAUCAAAAUACGCAAUUAAAAUUUAACUGAUACAAAUUUUGAACAUUUGAAUUAAAUAAUUAAAUAUUCACUUUUACUUGUUCAAUAAAUAAUUUAAAUAAUCUUUCCAUAUAAGUAAUUAAAUCAAAUAAUUUAAAUGAACAAUUGAUACAAAUAAUGAAAAACAAUUGGAAUAAAUAAUUAAUUAAAAUACACAAAAAUAAAUAAUGAACAUUUAAAUAAUAAUUACAUGAUUAUUUAAAUGAUAAAUGAAUAAAUGUUAAUAUUGAAAAUAUUAAUUAAAGUUUAAUUGAAAUAAAUUUCUAACAUUUGAAAUGAAUAAUUAAAUAUUUACCUUGCUUGUUCAAUAAAUAAUUUAAAUAAUCGAUUCAUAUAAGUAAUUAUAUGAAAUAAUUUAAAUGAACAAUUGAAACAAAUAAAUGAAAAAUAAUUGGAAUAAAUAAUUAAUUUAAACGCACAAAAAUAAAUAAUGAACAUUUAAAUAAUAAUUAAAUGAUUAUUUAAAUAAUAAUUGAAUAAAUGUUAAUAAUCAAAAUAUUAAUUAAUGUUUAAUUGAAAUAAAUAAUGAAAUAUUUGCGUUUGCUCUUGUUCAAUAAAUAAUGUAAACAAUCGAUCAAUAUAAGUAAUUAAAUCAAAUAAUUUAAAUGAACAAUUGAAACAAUUAAACGAAAAAAAAAAUUGGAUAAAAAUAAUCAAAGUAAGUAAUUAAAAUGUAGAUAAACAAUUGAAAUAAAUAUCUAACAUUUAAAACAAAUAAUUAAAUAUUCACUUAAUAAUUAAAAUAAAUAUUGAAUAAACAACUAAAGAAAAAUAUAACAAAUAAUUACAUAUUUACGUUUAAAUGUUCAAUAAAUAAUUUGAAGAAAAUAAUUAAAUAUAAAAUUAUAAUAAAUAAUUAAAAUUAAGCAUUCAAUAAACAAUGAAAAUAAAUGUUAAAUAAACAAAUAAACAAUCGAAAUAAAUAAUUUAGAUAAACAAUUGAAAUAAAUAAUGAACAUUUAAAUGAAAAUAAACAAUUUAAAUAACUAAGAAAUAUAAAUUUUCAAAAUAAUUUAUUUAAAUAUGUAAUUAAAUAUAAAUAAUCAAAUUUAAUUAAAUAAAGAAUUGAAAUAAAUUUAUAACAUGGAUUAAAAUAAAAUAUGAAAUAAAUAAUUUUUUAAAAAUUAGUUUUUCCCUUUUUUAUAAGUUGUGUGAUUUUUAAUUCAUUUUCUUUAUUAUCUGUUAUUUCGUGCGUAUAUUACUUACAGUUCGGUUAGUUGAAUUUUGUGACAUUAUGUUUCAAAUGUUCUAACAUUUGAAAUUUUAAAUUUUGCAGGAUGGAUUACCAUUUGGACGCAACCUUGAGACAAGUUCCUGGCAAAGUUACGUCGAGCUGUAAUUUUGUCAACUUCAUAGCAGUGUUGGAUUCACUGGACGAAGAGCACGCAGAGAUAUUACGUCGAUCCUACCUAUGACCCUUGUAUUCACUGCGAUUUGUACAGUUCUCUGGACAGUUGAUCGAUUCGUUACUGUGUUGGCUGUUUAAGCCAAUUGACGGAGAUGCCCUCCACUUUGAUCUUGGGGGCAAGGUUGCUACAUUUUCUAUAUUCGAGUUUGCCCUCAUCAUUGGAUUGAGAUGUACGGGUGAAGAGGCAGCGAGGACCAGUAUUUCGACAGACAAGAGGCUGCUGAAUGAUUAUUUUAAAGGGAACACGACAGUGACACUGGUGCAGUUAGGAGGUGCAUUCAGGGGAUGCGACCAGAUGUCCGACAAGUUGAAGUUGGGGAUGGUGUUUAUACUGGAGAGUGUACUGAGGUAUUAUCACAGGAAGACGUCGAUUGACGUUUUUCAUUUGCAAGUUGUUGAUGACAUCGAUACGUUCAACAGCUAUCCGUGGAGGGAGAGAUGCUCUUUGGAUAUUUUACACAUCUUCAGGAGGGGGCAUUCGAUACCUAGGGGAGAUAGGUCGGAGAGUAAGUGCGAUGUAUAUGGCCUGCGGUAGCUUUGCAGGUAAUAGUUUAACAUAAUGAGUUAUCCAUUUUUUAUUAAAUUGUACAUAUAAUAAUCGUAAUUGUUGCAGAUAUGGGUCUACGAGACUAUUCCCAUCCUGGCUGGUCGGUAUGCGAAGAGCGGGGAUACAUGCAUCCCUCGGAUGCACCGCUGGCGAGCACAAGACAAGCCUCUUGCAAAACAGCUAUCAGUUAUCCUAGACGAUCCCGAUAUACAUAUUAUAUAUUUGCGCUUUCUGUUGUAUGUCAUUUUCGAAACUGGAUACGUGGUUAGUAAUUCAAUGAAAUGUCAAUAUGUUAGCUUGAAGUUCUCAUUGAGCUGACACCAUCGAUCGAGGAGGAGGAUUAGACUUAUAUUCGUGAGUUGUUGACAGAUCGUGCUGUUCGAGAGAGGCCUGAGUCCAUCGUCGAUCGGGACACGGUAUGUUAAUUGAAUAUAAUAUGUUGAUUAUCGUUAUAAUUUUUUAAUUAAGUUAUUGAUUUGUAAUGUUUCUUUUUUUAGGAGUGCCGUCGAUUAUUACCUCCAUCGAGGGUGUCACAUUCCCCGAGGAUGUCGCCUCCGUCGAGGGUGUCCCCUCCCUACAUGCGAUCACCUCCGUCCCCUGUAUGAGAUCACCGUCUCCUGUGUCUCGACACCUCCCACGUGGAUCAGCUGCACGUAGUCAGAGUGCUUCCAUCGAUGAUAUGUUUCAACUUAUGAUGGAGAUCAGAGGCGACAUAGCUGGGUUACGAGGCGAAGUAGCUAACUUACAACGUGAUGUCGGGAUGGUACAGGUCAGUUUAGGAGACCUUUAUGCUGAGGUCGUAGCGAUACGGGGGCGAUAUAGUAGGCCUGCGUGUGACUGGUGAGUAUCGGGAUGGAGGGGCAGCGGAGGGACAGACGGCUAUCAAGACGAAGGGGGUAAUGAAGGGACAGGUGGCUAUCAGGACGGAGAGGCAGGCGGCUAUCGAGACGGAGGGGCCGGUGGUUAUCAUGGUCGAGGAGGUCAGACGGGGUAUGUUGACUCAUUGUGGGCAUCGGAUGAUGCAUUAACUUCAUAUCUCGAUGGCCCGAUAGAUAUGGAGAGGAGAUGGAGGAUCAGGCCCCGAUGGAGAUGGAUGAGGAGGUCGGGAGUGUACCGAUUGGGAAGGUGUAGGAGGAGGGGUGUAGAAGGAGGGGGGUACCAGAGGCGGAGGUCGGGAGGGUGCCGGAGGAAGAGGGGGUACCCGAGACGACAGUCGAGAGGGUGCCGGAGGCGGAGGUCGUCAGUGCCAAAAGGGGUACCAUCACAGUACGUCGUUUCUCUGUUUACCGCGGAGGCGAAAAGGAGGAGGUUCGUCGACGAUACGCACCCGAAUUUAUUCAGGGAGGUGGACCACGCCAAGUGGAAAGAGUUUGAGGCGGAGUGGAGAGCACUUAUACCCGGGUAAGUAUUGUAUUAUUCGUUAAUGAUUAGUACAUUACGCAGAUGGUGACACAUCUAUAUUCUUACUUAACAAUUUCUUUUCUUAUUUUUCAAAGUCAGUCGCAGGAUUG